UCUUAAAGGUAGGACUUGUUGGAUCAUAUUGUCUGUGGUAUUGGUAGCCUGUGUUUGUGUUGCUGCUGCUGUCAUCAUCACAGCCAUCAUGCUUAGACAAAAAAAUCCCAACAAUCUGUCACACAGGGAGCUGGAUGAGAUGUCUUCAACUGCAAUCAAUAAUACUAAUAAGCAUAUUACAGCAUAACCAAUUGAUGUGAAAACAAGGAAAUGUCCUCUGGCUCCAUCUAGUGUGCAUUGUGGGGAAAAAAGAGAAAGGAAGAAGAAGAUGAUCACACCAAGAAUGUAAAGAUUUUAAUAGCCUACAUUAAUUUUUUGCACAGCAAAUUUAUUUAUUUGAUGAAAUUAUCUAUAAA